UGAAUACGAGAUGCUACGGCGUCGAAGCAGUGUAUGUCAGACUUCCAAGAAAAGCUCGCAAUGUCAUAAGUAAAGAAUGCCUGUACCAUAACCGACACAGGUGGGUAGGUAGAGUAUACUAAGGGGCGCGAGAUAACUCUCUCUAAGGAACUCGGCAAAAUAACUCCGUAACUUCGGGAGAAGGAGUGCCUUCUUUAAGAAGGUUGCAAUAACAAGAUCCAAGCAACUGUUUAUCAAAAACACAGGUCUCCGCUAAGUCGUAAGACGAUGUAUGGGGGCUGACGCCUGCCCAGUGCCAGAAGGUUAAAGAAGUUGGUUAGCUUUUGCGAAGCUGAUGACUGAAGCCCUGGUGAACGGCGGCCGUAACCAUAACGGUCCUAAGGUAGCGAAAUUCCUUGUCGGGUAAGUUCCGACCCGCACGAAAGGCGUAAUGAUUUGGAUACUGUCUCGGAGAGGGACUCGGUGAAAUAGACUUGUCUGUGAAGAUGCGGACUACCUGCACCAGGACAGAAAGACCCUAUGAAGCUUUACUGUAACUUGAAAUUGAAAUUGGACUUUAUUUGCGCAGUAUAGGUGGAAGGCGUUGAAAGUAAUCUUGCGGGAUUAGUGGAGCCAUCAGUGAGAUACCACUCCUAUAAUGUUAGAUUUCUAACUUUGGAUCAUGAUCUGGUCAAAGAACAGUUUCAGGCGGGCAGUUUGACUGGGGCGGUCGCCUCCCAAAUGGUAACGGAGGCGUACAAAGGUUUCCUCUGAACGGGUAGAAAUCGUAUCUAGAGUGUAAAGGCAUAAGGAAGCUUGACUGUGAGACCUACAAGUCGAGCAGGGACGAAAGUCGGUCUUAGUGAUCUGACGGUGCUGAGUGGAAAGGCCGUCACUCAACGGAUAAAAGUUACUCUAAGGAUAACAGGCUGAUCUCCCCCAAGAGUUCACAUCGACGGGGAGGUUUGGCACCUCGAUGUCGGCUCAUCGCAUCCUGGGGCGGUAGUACGUCCCAAGGGUUGGGCUGUUCGCCCAUGAAAUCGGUACGCGAGCUGGGUUCAGAACGUCGUGAGACAGUUCGGUCCAUAUCCGGUGUAGGCGUUAGAAUAUUGAGAGGAGCCUUCUUUAGUACGAGAGGACCGAGAAGGACAUACCUCUGGUGUACCAGUUAUCGUGCCAACGGUAAACGCUGGGUAGCUAUGUAUGGAGAGGAUAACCGCUGAAAGCAUCUAAGUGGGAAGCCCACCUCAAGAUGAGUAUUCUC
rnacentral:rRNA from 1 species